rnacentral:lncRNA from 1 species
GGAGAACCAAAUUACGGUUCAAUGUAUCUGAGACCAAAACUGGUAUAGGACGUUGACAACCGCCCCAGCUCAGGUGUCACCACAUCCGCCAAAGCCUCGCAGCCCUUCUUGGGGUUCCCAGGCGUUGGUGACCCGCCCCGCCCCGCGACAGGCAACCAGCGGGGUGAGGGGGCGGGCUCCACCGCACGUCCUUUGCGCUCCCGGGAGGCCAGAACAACUCCCAGGCCUCCGCCGGCCCGACUCCCCCGAACCCGAGCCUCCCCUCGCCUAAGCCUGCCGUCUUCCCUCCCGGCCCCACGUCGCCCAAUGCCGCACCUUGAGGUGGCUGCGCAGGCCGCCAGCGCCCCCAGACUGGUCGGAGAUCUCGUACGCGCCAGUCACUAGCAGGUCCUUGUGAAUCUCCUCACGGAGGCACUUGCGAGAGUUAAUGGGCAGAUGGAAGGAGAUGGCAAGGACCAAUCUGGGGCCGAGCAGGAACAAAAGCAGCAACGCUAACGGAAAAGGGCCGCGCCGGGCUGGUGGGCCAGACAAACCAGACAUGGUGCUGGAGACUCGUUCACCACCGAAGGCCUCAACCGCGCCGGAACCGGGGGGACCCACGUGACUCACCUCUGACCUUCUGAUGCCGUCCGCGCCAUUUUGGAGACUGGCAUGUAGAGAAAGACUCUAUAGCGAAUCUUUUGAAAAGGGAAGAAAGGAUAGGUACCAUGUCAAAACCGCAAGUUUAAGCAGUUAAAGAAGCUUUAAUAGAAUACUAUUGCAACAGUUUUAUUUUUGUUGAAGUUAGUGACUACUGAGUCGGCCAUGGCAAGUAUGGGCAGCCCUGGAAGUAAUUCUCCUUUAAUUUCCGAAAGAUGUACCCACGAGUUUAAAGGCGAGUGACACCAUAGCAACCAAGCCCCAAUAGGAAACAGCCACAAGGCCCUUCGCUGGGCCCGCCCACCGGCCGCCUAGGCGCGAGGGCGGGGAAUGAGGCUGUGUCUCCGGGGAUGGGGCGGUUUGCAGGCACUCCCAAGCGCCUUUGACACCUUGAUGACACCUGGGGCACUGAGACACUAGAGAGGAAAAUUUCGAGGAAAGAUUUCAACUUGGCUAUUAGACAGUGUGGACCUUAGAGAAGAAGUUUUAGGGGUCACCUGAUGAAUGUGUGCCGGGCAGACAUCCGGUUCAUGUCCCAUAGCAGGGUAUUUGGGCUGGAGUAAUUGUCUGGCUAACUGAAUGUACAUGGUAUUAUUAUUAUUAUUAUUAUUAUUAUUAUUAUUAUUAUUUUAGCAAACAUUGAAUGUGUUCUAAGCUAUAUUCAAAAUAAAUUUGAAUUUGGUAUU